GUUAAAUACUGGACCCAAGGUGUGACUGGUAUAAUCGUGUGAUCUGAGAGUAAUUGGACGCUUGUUACACCCUGAAAAUAAUUGCAAUCCUGUAUUCAUUGUCAGAAGCUUAAGCUGUAACGCCGUCCAGGAAUUACAGGGCAACACACACCACAAAGCGCCAGCACAAAGCGCCAGCACAAAGCGCCAGCACAAAGCGCCAGCACAAAGCGCCAGCACAAAGCGCCAGCACAAAGCGCCCCAUAGAAAACAACAAGGACAAAGGAGAAAACACACAGAAAAUAGAAAUUAAAAAAGGAGAACAAAUUAAAAAAAGAAAAGCAAAACCAAACAACAAAAACACAAUACACAGAAAACACACAUACUAGAAGAAACAGAAACAAGAACUGCAAAAAAAGAGGUAAAAAAAGAAUAAACAAUCGAAACACCAAAACAAAGAUCUAACCAUAAAACACAAAAAGCAAAAACAAAACAAAGCACAAACACAAAAACACGCACACACACAAAAAAGGAAAACUAAGAGAAAAAAACAGCAAAUGAAAACAAUCACAAUUAAAGCAAUAAAUAGAAAAAGAAUAAAGAACAAUGGAAAAAAAAACAAAAAAACAUUUAAAAAAAGACAAAAGAAAAAAAAAACCAAGCCCAGAAAGUGCCCCAUAAAAUAAAUCAAUAGAUAAAAAAAACAAAGACAAAUGAAAAAACACACACCAAAUAGAAAUGAAAAUAGAUGAAAAAAAACCCCAAAAAACCAAAAAAAAAAGAAAAUUCACAAAACCCACACAUAUUAGAAGAAAUAGAAACACAAGGAAUGUAAAGAACAAAAAGCAAACGAAACAGCAGAACAAUAAUCUAAUCAGAGAACACAAAAAAGCAAAAACAAAACAAAAACAAUACACAAAAGCACGCACAAAAAAAAAGAAAAUAAAAUCUAGGGAAAAAAAAUGAAUACAAUCACAUUUAAAGCAACAACAACAAAAAAGACACAGAAAAACAAAAAAACACUAAAAAACCAAGAAAAACUAAGCGCACAAGGCACCCCACAGAAAACAACACACGAAAUAGAAAUUAAAAAACGGGAAAAAAAAGCAACAACAACAAAAACAAACCACACAUAUAAAACGAAACAGAAAAAAGAUUUUCCAAAAAAAAAAAACCAAAAGAAAAAAACAAAUGAAACAAAAACCCAAUCAUAAAAAAAGCCAGGGCGCAAAAGCCAGGGCGCAAAAGCCAGGGCGCAAAAGCCAGGGCGCAAAAACCCACAACACACACACACAAAACAAGUAGGAAAACUUACGGAAAAAAACACAAACAAAAAGACACACAAAAAAGAAGAAAAAAAAACAAGCACAGAGAAAAGCAAAGACAGAGAAAGCAAAGACAUCCAAUGCAAUAUCAAGGCAAAGCAAAGGAUUCAAAGAAAGAAAGGGGGAGAAAAAUAGGCUAACCAAAGCAAAAACAAGUCAGUAAGAGGAUAAAAACAGACCAUGACAAAUCAAGCAAAGGGAAUAAAAGAGAACAAGCAAAGUAAAAAUUAAAACAAAAGCAAAGCAAAAUAACUGACAAGCAAUGCAAAGCAAUGGUAGGAAAGCAUUACAAAAGAGCAAACCCGAGCAAAGCAAUGGAAGAAAGAAAAGAACAAAGAAUAAAAUGAACAGGAGUAAUCUAAGGAAAGAAAAAACAUAAUGGCAUAAAACAAGCUACAAAGAAAAAUCCAACAGAAUUGAAGAAAACGGUGGAAAGCACAGGUAAGGAAAACAAAGAAAAGUAAGGGAAAUAAAAAAAGGAAAGCAAAAAAAUGACAGCCAAAGCCAAAGCCAAAGCCAAAGCCAAAGCCA
ensembl:lncRNA